GAUGAACGCUGGCGGCGUGCCUAAUACAUGCAAGUCGAGCGAACGGACGAGAAGCUUGCUCCUCUGAUGUUAGCGGCGGACGGGUGAGUAACACGUGUAUAACCUACCUAUAAGACUGGGAUAACUUCGGGAAACCGGAGCUAAUACCGGAUAAUAUUUUGAACCGCAUUGUUCAAAAGUGAAAUACGGUCUUUCUUUCACUAAUAGAUGGCUCCGCGCUGCAUUAGCUAGUUGGUAAGGUAACGGCUUACCAAGGCAACGAUGCAUAGCCGACCUGAGAGGGUGAUCGGCCACACUGGAACUGAGACACGGUCCAGACUCCUACGGGAGGCAGCAGUAGGGAAUCUUCCGCAAUGGGCGAAAGCCUGACGGAGCAACGCCGCGUGAGUGAUGAAGGUCUUCGGAUCGUAAAACUCUGUUAUUAGGGAAGAACAUAUGUGUAAGUAACUGUGCACAUCUUGACGGUACCUAAUCAGAAAGCCACGGCUAACUACGUG
rnacentral:rRNA from 1 species